CUCGUGUCAAAUGAAAGCCCUGUAAAUCAGUCUUUUCCAUCCUUUCUUUGUUUUAGUUUCGAAACAGUGUUAGACGCAAAGGGAUUCAAAGAAAACAAACAAUUGAUAGAGAAUGAGUUUAAUACAAGAAGUAUCCCUUCCGGGAAAAGGAGAAAAGGACUUAUUUGGAGUACAUAAGGACUUCAAUGAACAUGACAUGCCCUUUGGACUAGAUGCCUGAUCUGUGUAAACCAUCCGACUCUCAGAAAUUUAUCAUUACUUUUGCCUCAAAAUCGAGAAACCUUUGCAGGACUAUGUCGGUGAUGGUGGCUGUAAGGAUCCUCUUUUUGAUCAGGGGCGCCCUUUACGGGUUUUCACGAGUUGACCUCUCUCAUUUCUUUUCUUGUAUUAUAGAGCUCUUUAUGAGUUUUCACUAACAAGAUUCUUUAAUUUUUCAUUUCUCUGCUUACCAUCGCCUCAUGGUGCCCCGUGUGGGUUUUCACCAAUAAGACUCUCUCAUUUUAUUUCUCUCAUUUUGUUGUGUCAGAUACAAGUAACUGUAUUCUCUGAUCCUCAAAAAUUCUCACCGAUUGAUCAGAAAGACUUGAGAGGAUUCGGGUAAAAAUGAUUUGGAUUGAAUUAACACUUUGGAACCAAUCGCGCGGGAUCAACGUCGAACCAUUAUAACACUUGCCCCAGUUUCACUUUCGGGGGACUUUGGAUUUUCAUUUUGGUGUGACUGAACCUCAGAGAGGCUGCCUACGUAUCCUUUCUUGAACAUUCUCACCAAUUAAUCUGAAAGACUUGAACAGGAUUUGGACAAAAAGGAUUUGGAUUGAGUUACAACUUUGGAACCUUUUGGGAGGGAUUAUCGCAGAACCAAUAUAACAUCUGCCCCCGUUUCACUUUUGGGGAAAUUUGAAUUUUUAUUUUGGUGUGAGUGAAGCCCAGAGAGAGGCUGCCUACGUAUCCUUUUGGAAUCAAGUCGAACAUAGUUCAGGGAACUUUGUUUUUUUGAUUUUCUUUUGUUUUUCUUCUUUUUUUUGUUUUCUUCUUUCCUUUUUCCUCUCUUUUCAUUUUUUUCAUUUCAUUUUCUUUGUAUUUUCUUCCUUCUUCUUUUCCUUCUAUUUCAUUUUUUCGUUUUUCCAACUAUUUUUUUGACACUUUCCGGUUCCAAAGAGGGUAGUCAAAGAACAGUAACCGACUCAAAGGGUUUGCAAAGGGUUGAUAGUGUUUGGGUAGCGAGAAUGAAAGCCUUCGUCAUCCCAACUGGAGAAUAUUAAUACUAUAUGGAGGAUCAAUCAGAGUACCUUUUGGCUGCAUUUGCAUUGACAGCUAUUUCAAGGACAUUUCCUUCAACGUGUCCCAAGUACAACGCACUCUUUUGGCAGUACUCUUGUUGCAAUUAUGGACCUUUCCAAUCCGAGAACCAAUUUUCCUUUAUUUGUUCUAACUCAUUGUUUUAUUGUCCUGAGCUAAUAUUCAUUGCGACCCAAUUCUUGAUUCAUUAUUUCGAGAUCUGGCAAUGUAUUAGGAUCCGGACAUGAAGUCCACAUGCAUGUCAUGUUAUUAAAAUCUGCAUUUAACAAAACUAAAAAGAGAAUUAGAAAAUUAAGAAGAUUAAGAAAAGAGACAUAUUUUUUUUUACUUUUGUUCAAUUAUUUGAAGAUAAAAGGGUUUACAUCGGAAAGUAAGACAAUAAAGUAAAGACAUUUGUAUCACAACCUGAGAUAAUUCGGACGCAAAAAGGAUAGCAAGACUGGCAACUGAGACUCUGUCUGAUGGGGAACUUUCAGACUUGGCAACUAUUUUUUCGCUUUUCUUCUAUCUCGGCAAUAGCUUCAAUAUCCUUCAGUUCCGAAUCAAAUUCCUUAGCUUCACAAAUCAUUCCAACUAUUGGCCUGGUAUUGUGGGCAGGCAACAUAUUGUUCAUCACAUCAGGAGUUUCUUCAUCCUGAAAAAUAAUUCUUUCAGCUUCAAUCAAAUCCCCAACUACCCUUUUGAGGGUCCAACAGUCCUCUGUAUUGUGUCCUACUGCUCCAUAGUGGUAUUCACAGAUACGAUCAUCUCGGUGCGAGGGGGACUCAGGGUUCGGCCAGUUCAGGGCCACUGACUGCAAUAGAUCUAGCCGGAUUAGCUCUUAGAACAAGCUUGAAUAUGAUUCACCAAUAGGAGUGAACUAAUUCUUUCUGAAAGGCUCUCCUAGGCGAGGACUGUAUUGGGAAUCAUUUGGUUGAGGAUCAUAUGGAUCUUGGUAAGGAUGGGCAUUUUCUGGGAGGUGGUGCUUGGUUUUGUGUAUAAUAUUAUGGAGCAGUGUUGGAUUGCACGCCCAUCAUCGCACAUGGAGGCGGCGCCACAACAUAAGCAUUAUCUUGAAGGGGAUAAUAGUAUGGUGGGACCAUAAGAGGCACAUAUGACUUGGUGAAUGACCUACGGGCCCCUAGAGCUUGAAAUCAUCAUGACUCUCUUUUCACUCCCAUUUCUGUUUAUCAAAUCCUCCAAACCAUUAUGAGAAAACUGUGAUGUGGCCUUAAAAGAAGCAUGACUCAAGAUUCGACCCGUUUUCAAACCAUUUUCAACCAUUUCCCCAAUUUUGAUAGCCUCGGCAAAUGGCUUACCCAUAGCAGACAUCAUGUUCUAGAAGUAGUCAGCCUUUUAGGCAUGCAGAAAAACCGUGACCAUUUCAGUUUCGUCCAUUUGAGGCUUUACCCUAGUAGCUUGCUCACGCCAUUUGACAGCAUAUUCGCAGAAGCUUUCCUCAGUUUUCUUUCUCAAAUUAGACAAGGAAUUUCUGUCGGGAGCGAUGUCCACAUUGUAUUGGAACUGGCAGACAAAAUCGCGAGCCAUAUCAACCCAACCGUGCCAAUGAGUAAUUUCUUGACCCGUAUACCGCUCAGAAGCGAUUACGGUGAGGCUUUCCCCUAAAUAGGCCAUUAGCAGCUUAGUUUUUCCAUCAACACCCCUCAAUUGUUGUAGUAUAAUUUCAUAUGAGCAACCGGGUCUCCAUGCCCAUUAUACUUCUCAAAUUUUGGCAUCUUGAAGCCAACUGGCAGGUGGACAUGGGGACGCAUACAAAGGUCAGAGUAUGACACACUCUUUUUACCACUCAGACCUUGCAUGUUUUUCAGGCUUUGUUCCAGUCUCUUCAUCUUUCAAGCCAUUUCCUUUUGCUUGGCGUUUUUAACAACUUUUCCUUGCCUCGCUGAGAGAUCAUAUCGCGAAGGUUGAGUGAAAGAGUAUGGGGUCACAUUUGUUAUUUUUGGUUGGAUCUGUGGACUCUGAAAGAUGAACAUUGGAGGCCAUGCCCUGGAAGCCGGUGCCUGGGGGCGAACCACAGAAGGAAUGACAUGAUCAUUGAACGACAUUGGAGGGUGCCCGCCUGGGAUGAGCGAGUUGGGCAUAGGGGUGUUGGUAACCUCACUUGACCUAGGGAUCAACUCAGGAACCUAGGGUUUGCACUUGGCGGUUCCCUACCAUUAGACCAGGCGUCCCACAUUUCCAUGAUGCGGAGAUGCAAUAUCUUAUUCUCUUUAGCAGCUGCUGAUUCUAACUAUAGAAUAGCCGAUGCUGGGUUAUCCUCAGGACCAAUGAUUGGUAGAUUACUUGCGGAGGCCAUCUGUGCCUUUUGAUUUUGUGAGGGAGGGAAGGCUAGACUACCAACAAAACCAACCGCCAAAACCUGACUAGUUUGCACAUCUAACAACCUUGUUAGUUUUGAAACAUUUAACAUAUAGAAAAUCGCACGUCGGGAUGCAAUGCACCUAACAGUUAAACGCUUCUACCGUGUGUUUGAACGGUUGCAUGUUUCAUCCCAGAUUUAACUAGCCCUUUUCACUCUAUACCUCUUUUCUUCAUUCCUGUCUCUCUUAAAUCAUUCUUGAUUUUUUCUUCCAUCUUGUUUUUGCCGCUCUUUUAUUUUUGCACUUUCUUUUUCUCUAUUUGUUUGUCACUAUUUAUUUCUUGUUGCUCUUUUUUUCACUUUUUCUUUCUUUUUCACUCAAUUUUUUUUCAGUUUAUUUUUCACUUAAUUUAUUUAUGGCUAUGAUCGAAUCCGAUGGGGAUUGCCAACGUAUCAUGACCCCGCAUGAAUUAGAUCUUGUGUAGUUCGGGAAGAUCGAUAAUGGAGUAAAUAAACUAACUCUUUUUUGGGGAAGUUGUUGAAAGAAAUGUUUUAAAAGAAGAAAGGAAAUAUUUUUUGAUUUUUCGAUUUUGAUUUUUCUUUUAUAUUUUGAAAGAAAGUCUUCUAUUCAUUUUCUUUUGAUUUGAACUUUGAAAAUUUUAAAAGUAAAAAAGAAAAAUAUUUUGUUUGAAUUUUUAUUUGUUUUCUCUUUUUCUAAAGAAGCAAGAAAAAUACUUUUGGCUUUUCGAUGUUGCCUCUUAAUUUUCUAUAGAGAGACUUUUAAGAAAGAGUUUUGGAUUAUUGAGUUUUUAUUUAUUUACAAAAGUACUUCUAAAGAAAAACAAAAAUAUUUUUUAGACUUCAAUUUUUCAAAAUUUUUAUGGCCAUUUACAAAAAAAAAGACAUCUAAAGAGUAUUUUACGGAUUUUUGUUUCAGAUGGUUUUUUUUCUGGAAAAAUACUUCAAAAGGAAGGAAACGCGUACUUUGGAUUUUGAUUUUUAUUGAUUUUUCUUUUUCGUAUGAAAGGCAUUUGAAAGAAGGAAACUAUUAUUUUUAGUUUAAAAACUAUUUUUUUUUUAAUUUUCCGAGGAAAGAUUUAUACAGAAGGAACUAAACAAAAAAAAUUUGGAUUAUUUUUUAAAAUUGGGGUCGAAACUGAUGAAGUUUGCAUACGUAUCUCACAUCCGGUGAAAAUGAGACCCGCGUAGUUUGGUCAGUUUUGAUGGAACUAGGAAAACGUGGCACUUGAAAUUAUUAUUAUUUUUGGCUCAUUUUGAAAUGACUUUUCUUUUUUCAGAAUUUCAAAAUUUUCUAAACCUACCUCUUACCUUCUUUUUUCCCCGUUUUUUUAUUUUCUUCCUCUAUUCUAGAAGUCGGUCAACAUACAGUCGAACAAACAAUGCGCAAGUAGCAUGUAAGAUGUAUCAGGAUGGCCUUUUUAAUUUGGAUACACCUGUUCUAGACAAACCCAACCCAUGUGUUAAGUUUCCAAAGUCAAAUGGACGUGAUGCAAACAAACGUUCCUACUAGGGAUAUGGUAUGAGCCUUUGUUAUACUAGGUUUAAAAUCUGAGUUCAUUGUUCUAGAACUGACUUACCCGAGCGGACAACUCAAGCCGAGAGAGGGGCGGCGUACGAAAAUACAAAAGCUUCGCCGGCUUAGCAACUUGUCCGAACCUCGUUCUAAAUGGAAUAAAACUCUAAAUAGAAGAGAAGGCACACAAAGUACACCCUUCUCCAUGAUGUAGAAGACUCACAGACAGAAAGAGUUUCGUACUAGUUUAUAUAUACAAUUCAACAAAUAUCAAAGCGGUAAAGUAUUUAACACUUUUUAGCAUGAAACAUGUAGGAAAAUCAUAUAAUAGAUAACCAAUCAUAAUAGCUAUUCUAAGAUCGAAUUCUUGAAACCUAAACUGAAAUUCUGGGUUCAUGUCCCCAACACAGUCGCUAGAGCUGUCACGCCUCCUUUUUUAUACACCUACCUCAGGGAUAAUGUAUAAGGGAGUUUUUUCAGUUUAAGUGACAUUAUUCGAAAUGGAAUUAUUUAUUUGUCAGAGUCCCCACUUGGGAUAGUUUAUUUGGUGUCCCAAGUCACCGGUUUAUUUUGAAUCCCAAAUCGAAAAUUUUUUGACUUUCCUUAUGAAAUCUGCGAACCAGAAACUCUGACUAAGGAAUUUUGUUAAUCCGGGGAAGGUGUUAGCCACCCCCAGAUUCCGUGGUUCUAGCACGGUCGCUUAAACUAUUACAAUUGGCCUAUUAUCUGAUUUUAAUACAUGUUUACCCUAUGGUGUAAUGUUAAAUUAUGUACCGCUUCUAAUUAAUUUUAAGGAAGAUUAAACGUCGUUUAAAACAUGUCUUUGGAUCGCUUCACAUGAACGCAUUUUUUUGGGAUUUGGAUCUAGGUCACAUGAAAUGUGCACCCGGGUUUAGGAAGUUAAUAGUAUUAAAAUAACGUGCCUGAAGCAACUACGCAUUAUUAAAUUUGCAAGAGCCGUGAAAAUUUGCUAAUGGCACGCCUCGAUUUCUAAAGAGUUAAAAUUAAUGAAAUGAGGUCCAUGAGUUUUGAAAAUUUAUUUGGUAUGGAACGUUUAGACUUAUUCUAACAAAAGGGUUAUAUAUUUUAAAAGGAAAUUAAAGGUGCUCGUAUUUUAAUCUAAUUUUAAAAAAAAAAGUUAUCGCAACCACAUCACGGGAAUAAUACCCAUAAUUGAAAUAAUAUAAUUGCGCCUACAUUAUUAUACAAAUAUUCAUAAGUCAAUUUGUUUUUCUAACUUCCUAUGAAAUUCGCUGAAGGUCAUACUAUGUGACAGAAGAAAUGUCGAAGUCAUCAAUCGACAUAUUUAUAUGACUAAAGGUGAAAAUGCAUUCAAUGCAAGUCACAAACUCAUUGAAUUUGGUCUUUGGUUCACGAUUUUAAAAUAUGACAUAGCUCAUGUGAUCUCAAACCAACAACAACAAUUAUUUAAACUUAAAAGAGAUCAAUCAGAAAUGUUUUGUCAAAAACUAACAUGUAUUACUUUGUGAUAAAGAUUCAGAAUGUUUUUUUUACAUUGAAACUAUAUGUAUGGUCAUGGAUCUUAAAUCGGUAUUUGAAAUCUGUCACAUUUUUUUUCCAACACAUUGAAAGACCGCAGAUGGCAUUGGGUGCGGCAGUAAUAAACUCUUUUACUAACAAUUUCCGCAGAAGAACUUUAAAUAUGUUCACAUUAGUGUAGCUACACCUAAAUCGAACUUUGUUUAUAGCUCAUGAUAUCACAAAAUCAACAACAACGACCAUUUAAAACUCAUCAUGGGAGCAGAAGAUUUCAGAUUUUUAUUCAAACUUAACGUCAGAUAUAAAGAAGACCUUUAUCAAACACAUAGGUGAACAAAUAUUGUAUAUAUCAUAACAUUACAGCAUCCAAACGAUAACUACAUUACCGAAGAUUGAAAUUGGUACCUCAACAGCAGUACAAACUGCAAUUAGCCAAAUAAAGGCAAGAGAUAAAGAGCAGGCACAUCAAUCCAGUGAAAUAGCCAAGUAGCUCCAAUUACUGACUAGAUUCAGUUUGAAAACCCAGGAAAGCGAUGUAGGAGAUCUCUUUGAAUCGAAAAACACAAACUAAUUAUUUUUGAGUGUAGAAAUCAACUCUUAUUCUAUUUUUUUUGAAGCUGGACAUUUCAGAUUUUAGAAAGGAAAUUUUUGACUUUCAAAAUCUGUUUUCAGAUGUUUCUCGCGUGUGUGUCAAGAUGUGUGCCUGUGUGAUUUUGUGAAGGGAUCUCAAAAUCAGAGAGGAGAUUGCUGAUUUUUACGGAAAAUGGAGGAGAAACUUUUUCAGCUCUCCAAACGUGCCGCCUCUGUAUAUUUUCAGAGGAAGGUCCCAAAAAUCUCUUCUCCUCCUUUUUAGGUGUAGG
rnacentral:lncRNA from 1 species